rnacentral:tRNA from 1 species
UAUAUAGUGGCAGAAAAGUGCACUAGGUUUAAACCCUAUUUAUGAUUUACCACCCUAUAUAA